CUGGACGGCGCUAAUGCGUUAACGAGCUAACCGCACUAGCGCGUUGACGCCGUGCAGCC
rnacentral:pre_miRNA from 1 species